CGAGACAACUCUCUCUAAGGAACUCGGCAAAAUAGCCCCGUAACUUCGGGAGAAGGGGUGCCCCCUCACAAAAGGGGGCCGCGGUGACCAGGCCUGGGCGACUGUUUACCAAAAACACAGGUCUUCGCAAAGUUGUAAGACCAUGUAUGGGGGCUGAUGCCUGCCCAGUUCUGGAAGGUCAAGGAAGUUGGUGAACUGAUGACAGGGAAGCCGGCGACCGAAGCCCCGGUGAACGGCGACCGUAACUAUAACGGUCCUAAGGUAGUGAAAUUCCUUGUCGGGUAAGUUCCGACCCGCAUGAAAGGUGUAAUGAUCUGGGCACUGUCUCGGAGAGAGGCUCG
rnacentral:rRNA from 1 species